rnacentral:rRNA from 1 species
AUUGAACGCUGGCGGCAUGCUUUACACAUGCAAGUCGAACGGUAGAGGGGGCAACCCCUUGAGAGUGGCGAACGGGUGAGUAAUGCAUCGGAACGUGCCCAGUCGUGGGGGAUAACUACUCGAAAGAGUGGCUAAUACCGCAUACGACCUGAGGGUGAAAGCGGGGGACCGAAAGGCCUCGCGCGAUUGGAGCGGCCGAUGUCAGAUUAGGUAGUUGGUGGGGUAAAGGCCUACCAAGCCUGCGAUCGGUAACUGGUCUGAGAGGACGACCAGUCACACUGGGACUGAGACACGGCCCAGACUCCUACGGGAGGCAGCAGUGGGGAAUUUUGGACAAUGGGGGAAACCCUGAUCCAGCAAUGCCGCGUGUGUGACGAAGGCCUUCGGGUUGUAAACUGCUUUUGUACGGAACGAAACGGCGAGCUCUAAUACAGUUUGCUAAUGACGGUACCGUAAGAAUAAGCACCGGCUAACUACGUG